UACGGAGGGGCCUAGCGUUGUUCGGAAUUACUGGGCGUAAAGCGCACGUAGGCGGCUUUGUAAGUUAGAGGUGAAAGCCCGGAGCUCAACUCCGGAAUUGCCUUUAAGACUGCAUCGCUAGAAUUGUGGAGAGGUAAGUGGAAUUCCGAGUGUAGAGGUGAAAUUCGUAGAUAUUCGGAAGAACACCAGUGGCGAAGGCGGCUCACUGGCCCGUUACCGACGCUCAGGCGCGACAGCGUGGGGAGCAAACAGG
rnacentral:rRNA from 1 species